AAGGCCUUAGCUUAAUUAAAGUGACUGUUUUGCAUACAGUAGAUGUGAGUUAAUGUCUUGCAGGUCUUA
rnacentral:tRNA from 1 species